GACGAACGCUGGCGGCGUGCCUAAUAAAUGCAAGUAGGACGCACAGUCUAUACCGUAGCUUGCUACACCAUAGGCUGUGAGUUGCGAACGGGUGAGUAACGCGUAGGUAACCUGCCUAUUAGAGGGGGAUAACUAUUGGAAACGAUAGCUAAUACCGCAUAACAGUAUGUAACACAUGUUAGAUGCUUGAAAGAUGCAAUUGCAUCGCUAGUAGAUGGACCUGCGUUGUAUUAGCUAGUAGGUAGGGUAAUGGCCUACCUAGGCGACGAUACAUAGCCGACCUGAGAGGGUGAUCGGCCACACUGGGACUGAGACACGGCCCAGACUCCUACGGGAGGCAGCAGUAGGGAAUCUUCGGCAAUGGGGGGAACCCUGACCGAGCAACGCCGCGUGAGUGAAGAAGGUUUUCGGAUCGUAAAGCUCUGUUGUUAAGGAAGAACGAGUGUGAGAAUGGAAAGUUCAUACUGUGACGGUACUUAACCAGAAAGGGACGGCUAACUACGUG
rnacentral:rRNA from 1 species